UACUCGUUCGAAAUAAAAAAUAUAUUUUUGUUUUGGAUAGUCCGCAGGGCACGUAGCAUUUGAAUUAGCUAAAGAACUCAAUAUGUGUGUUAUAGUCAUCAAUCAUCAUUAUAUUCAGUUAAAACUGUAAAUGGAUCAUAGAUGGAGUACCUAUACAGUAAAAUAUAUGCAUAAAUAGAUAGAAGGUUGAAGAAGUAUUAUAAUACGUCUCAUUUCUACUAAUAACUUUUUUUUAAGAAACGACGAACGAAAGAAACUAGUAUUAGUAUUUAAAAUAUUAUUAUAUUUAAGUACAAGCUAAUAUAAUUUCCCUCUUAAUUCUCUUCUUUACUUAGACUGUUUUAUUCCAACUCUGUCGUAAAUAGUUUCAUGGCGUAUACAUCUUUGGAAGUACUUUUUGGCCCAUCAGACGAUGUGAAAUGUAAGUGAAUUUUAUUUGUCUAUCUCGAAGCAUUUCUUCUCUUCUACUGUUGACGACAGAUGCGAAGUAGUAAAGAAUUACUGAAAACAUUUAAACGUUUAAUUUUAAUCGUAUAUGUAUUACACACUUCGAAGUGUCUAAAUAAUCGUUUCUGAACCAUUUUUAUAUCGCGACCCACGAAAAAGCCAAAAAGUUAAGUAAAACAGUCUUGCGACCCCGUCACUGAAUAAUAUUAUAAUUUAGUUUUAUAACACUACACUAUAAUUAUUCAUUCCUUUAAUAAACGAAUAUUUUGUACCUA